CCUAUGCUUUGGAUUUCUGCAGCAAAUUUUCUGAAUAAGAGGUCUCUCUCCUAACUAUGCAGCUAUCAGAACCUCAAAGCAUCAAAUGCUAUAGUCAGAUAAGAGCACAGGGAGAAAAGGGGAUAUGCAGCCAUCCAGGAAGGUAGACAUACUGCCAGGGACAUGUUUCAAAGGCUCAUCCCUUGAAAGAUUGGAACCCAAGACCACCAGAACUGAAAAGACCCAGAGACAUAGCUGAGGAGAUUUCUCCCCUGUCUCCCAGCUGGACUCCCCACAAGCCUCACUUUUGCCCAACAUUAAGCACCUUCCCUGGCCUGACUGUUUUCCAGUUACAACUUCCAGGAAACUAUUUCAAGAGGCUGAGGUAUUUCUGGAAAGGGCAACAAUCUCAGGGAAAGGAAACUCUGCCCUAUACCUGAUGUUUCUAAACGUUGGGGACCCUGCUGGUCUCACAGGGCAGACAGAUCCUGGCGAACACAAACUCUAAUUGUCCUGCAUUCAGCAGCCACCCUCUGAAAGUAAGGGGCUGCCCAGAUGCCCUGAGAAGAUUUCUCCACUAUCCUGGAGAGUCAUGGAGAGACUCACAUCAUGGAGAGAGACCCAACAAGCAUUUCCUCGCCUGCUUGUUGAUGGGAGAGCUCCUGGAAUUGAAGAAUUUUUCCAUGAGAACAUAAAUUGUCUACAUGUACGUAACAGGUAUGCCCUGCUCAUCAAAUAUGGAGUAUAAAUAUAAUUGCAUCUGGUG